GACGAACGCUGGCGGCGUGCUUAACACAUGCAAGUCGAACGGAAAGGCCCUGCUUUUGUGGGGUGCUCGAGUGGCGAACGGGUGAGUAACACGUGAGUAACCUGCCCUUGACUUUGGGAUAACUUCAGGAAACUGGGGCUAAUACCGGAUAGGAGCUCCUGCUGCAUGGUGGGGGUUGGAAAGUUUCGGCGGUUGGGGAUGGACUCGCGGCUUAUCAGCUUGUUGGUGGGGUAGUGGCUUACCAAGGCUUUGACGGGUAGCCGGCCUGAGAGGGUGACCGGCCACAUUGGGACUGAGAUACGGCCCAGACUCCUACGGGAGGCAGCAGUGGGGAAUAUUGCACAAUGGGCGGAAGCCUGAUGCAGCAACGCCGCGUGCGGGAUGACGGCCUUCGGGUUGUAAACCGCUUUCGCCUGUGACGAAGCGUGAGUGACGGUAAUAGGUAAAGAAGCACCGGCUAACUACGUG
rnacentral:rRNA from 1 species